GGCUUCUGAUCGGAAAUGAGAGCUGGGCUGUGGGACAGAUCAUGCAAUCAUAGAAUAUCCUGAGUUGGAAGGGACCCACAUGGAUCAUGGAGACCACCAACACCAUAGUUGUCAUUAGUUUCAGAAGCAAAGAAUGGAAUCGAGAUUCAGUGAUCUUGUUAGCGAGAGAUGUAGACAAACAGUACUCUUCAAAUGUUAGGAGAGUUUGGAUUCAUCACCUAUCCCACUGCCCUGAGACCGAGAUCAGAAGUGAUUUCAUUCGUGAAGUCUCACUGCCAGAGCUCAUUAGUGAAGUCAUCUUAGCACACAGCUGA
rnacentral:lncRNA from 1 species